GGCGAACGGGUGAGUAACACGUGAGUAACCUGCCCUUGACUUUGGGAUAACUUCAGGAAACUGGGGCUAAUACCGGAUAGGAGCUCCUGCUGCAUGGUGGGGUUGGAAAGUUUCGGCGGUUGGGGAUGGACUCGCGGCUCAUCAGCUUGUUGGUGGGGUAGUGGCUUACCAAGGCUUUGACGGGUAGCCGGCCUGAGAGGGUGACCGGCCACAUUGGGACUGAGAUACGGCCCAG
rnacentral:rRNA from 1 species